rnacentral:rRNA from 1 species
GAUGAACGCUGGCGGCGUGCCUAAUACAUGCAAGUCGAGCGAACAGACGAGGAGCUUGCUCCUCUGACGUUGGCGGCGGACGGGUGAGUAACACGUGGAUAACCUACCUAUAAGACUGGGAUAACUUCGGGAAACCGGAGCUAAUACCGGAUAAUAUAUUGAACCGCAUGGUUCAAUAGUGAAAGACGGUUUUGCUGUCACUUAUAGAUGGAUCCGCGCCGCAUUAGCUAGUUGGUAAGGUAACGGCUUACCAAGGCGACGAUGCGUAGCCGACCUGAGAGGGUGAUCGGCCACACUGGGACUGAGACACGGUCCAGACUCCUACGGGAGGCAGCAGUAGGGAAUCUUCCGAAAUGGGCGAAAGCCUGACGGAGCAACGCCGCGUGAGUGAUGAAGGUCUUCGGAUCGUAAAACUCUGUUAUUAGGGAAGAACAAAUGUGUAAGUAACUAUGCACGUCUUGACGGUACCUAAUCAGAAAGCCACGGCUAACUACGUG